rnacentral:rRNA from 1 species
UACGUAGGGUGCGAGCGUUGUCCGGAAUUAUUGGGCGUAAAGAGCUUGUAGGCGGUUUGUCGCGUCUGCUGUGAAAAUCCGAGGCUCAACCUCGGACUUGCAGUGGGUACGGGCAGACUAGAGUGUGGUAGGGGAGACUGGAAUUCCUGGUGUAGCGGUGAAAUGCGCAGAUAUCAGUAGGAACACCGAUGGCGAAGGCAGGUCUCUGGGCUACUACUGACGCUGAGAAGCGAAAGCAUGGGUAGCGAACAGGAUUA